rnacentral:rRNA from 1 species
UACGUAGGGGGCAAGCGUUGUCCGGAAUCAUUGGGCGUAAAGAGCGUGUAGGCGGCCCGGUAAGUCCGCUCUGAAAGCCCGGGGCUCAACCCCGGGAGGCGGGUGGAUACUGCUGAGCUUGAGUCCGGAAGAGGCGAGUGGAAUUCCCGGUGUAGCGGUGAAAUGCGCAGAUAUCGGGAGGAACACCAAUGGCGAAGGCAGCUCGCUGGGACGUGACUGACGCUGAGACGCGAAAGCGUGGGGAGCAAACAGG